rnacentral:lncRNA from 1 species
AUGGGAGAUAAGCUGAUUUGGAAGCAAACUGAAUCCAGCUUCAUUCAACAUUACUACCAGUUAUUUGAUAAAGAUACAACCCGAAUAGGUACAAUUUACAUUGACGCGUCAUGCCUUAGGUGGGAAGGACAGCAAUGACAGGGGAAAGCUGCCAUUGUGGAGAAGUUGUCUAGCCUUCUGUUCCAGAAAAUCCAGUACAGCAUCACAGGCACAGGACAAUUAGCCCACACCAGAUAGCUGCAUCAUCAGCAUGGUUGUGGGUGAGCUUAAGGUAGAUGAAGACCCCAUCAUCGGGUUCCACCAGAUGUUCCUAUUAAAGAAUAUCAGUGAAGCUUGGGUUUGCACCAAUGACAUGUUCAGGCUUGCCCUGCUCACUUCGGCUGA